GGAAGUAAAAGUCGUAACAAGGUUUCCGUAGGUGAACCUGCGGAAGGAUCAUUACAGAGUUCAUGCCCGAAAGGGUAGACCUCCCACCCUUGUGUAUUAUUACUUUGUUGCUUUGGCGCGCCGCUCGCGGGGCGCCAGAGGAAACCCAAACUCUUUUUAUUAAUGUCGUCUGAGUACUAUAUAAUAGUUAAAACUUUCAACAACGGAUCUCUUGGUUCUGGCAUCGAUGAAGAACGCAGCGAAAUGCGAUAAGUAAUGUGAAUUGCAGAAUUCAGUGAAUCAUCGAAUCUUUGAACGCACAUUGCGCCCCUUGGUAUUCCGGGGGGCAUGCCUGUUCGAGCGUCAUUUCAACCCUCAAGCUCAGCUUGGUAUUGAGUCCACGUCAGCAAUGGCCGGCUCUAAAAUCAGUGGCGGCGCCGCUGGGUCCUGAACGUAGUAAUAUCUCUCGUUACAGGUGCUCAACGUGCUUCUGCCAAAACCCAAAUUUUCUAUGGUUGACCUCGGAUCAGGUAGGGAUACCCGCUGAACUUAAGCAUAUCAAUAAGCGGAGGAAAAGAAACCAACAGGGAUUACCUCAGUAACGGCGAGUGAAGCGGUAAAAGCUCA
rnacentral:misc_RNA from 1 species